rnacentral:rRNA from 1 species
GGUUAAGUGACUAAGCGUACACGGUGGAUGCCUAGGCAGUUGGAGGCGAUGAAGGACGUACUAACUUGCGAUAAGCCAUGAUAAGCCAGUAAGAGGCAUUUGAGUCAUGGAUUUCCGAAUGGGGAAACCCACUCUGUUUACAGAGUAUCCGGCACUGAAUCAAUAGGUGCCAGGAAGCGAACCCGGAGAACUGAAACAUCUAAGUACCCGGAGGAAAAGAAAUCAACCGAGAUUUCCCCAGUAGCGGCGAGCGAACGGGAAGCAGCCCUUAAGCUUAACUUGUGCUAGCAGAAUCCGAUGGGAAGCGGAGCCACAGACGGUGAGAGCCCGGUAUGUGACGG